rnacentral:rRNA from 1 species
GACAGAGGUGCCGAGCGUUAGGCGGAAUCACUGGGCUUAAAGCGUGUGUAGGCGGGCGGGCAAGUACCUUGUGAAAUCCCACGGCUCAACCGUGGAACUGCUGGGUAUACUGCCUGUCUUGAGCCAGCCAGGGGCAGUCGGAACAGACGGUGGAGCGGUGAAUGCGUAGAUAUCGUCUGGAACGCCAAAGGUGAAAACAGACUGCUGGGCUGUGCUGACGCUGAGACACGAAGCCAGGGGAGCGAACGGG